GAUGAACGCUGGCGGCGCGCCUAACACAUGCAAGUCGAACGAUUAAAGCACCUUCGGGUGUGUAUAAAGCGGCGAACGGCUGAGUAACACGUGGGCAACCUGCCCCUUUCAUUGGGAUAGCCACGGGAAACCGUGGAUAAUACCGAAUACUUCGAGACUUCCGCAUGGAAGGCUCGAGAAAGCUCCGGCGGAGAGGGAUGGGCCCGCGGCCUGUUAGCUUGUUGGUGGGGUAACGGCCUACCAAGGCAAUGAUGGGUAGCUGGGUUGAGAGACCGACCAGCCAGAUUGGGACUGAGACACGGCCCAGACUCCUACGGGAGGCAGCAGUGGGGAAUCUUGCACAAUGGGCGAAAGCCUGAUGCAGCGACGCCGCGUGCGGGAUGAAGGCCUUCGGGUUGUAAACCGCUUUCAGCAGGGACGAGGCGAAAGUGACGGUACCUGCAGAAGAAGCCCCGGCUAACUACGUG
rnacentral:rRNA from 1 species